CCUACGGGAGGCAGCAGUGAGGAAUAUUGGUCAAUGGGCGCGAGCCUGAACCAGCCAAGUCGCGUGAGGGAAGAAGGUCCUAUGGAUUGUAAACCUCUUUUGUCGGGGAGAAAAAGACGCCACUCGUGGAGUUCCGAGAGUACCCGAAGAAAAAGCAUCGGGUAACUCCGUGCCAUCAGCCGCGGUAAUACGGAGGAGGCGAGCGUUGUCCGGAUUUAUUGGGUUAAAAGGGAGCGCAGGCGGAAGAUAAAGUCAGCGGUAAAAGGGAGAGGCUCAACCUCUUCGCGCCGUUGAAACUGGGUUACUUGAGUGAAUGAGAGGUAUGCGGAAUGCGUGGUGUAGCGGUGAAAUGCAGAGAUAGCAGGCAGAACUCCGAGUGCGAAGGCAGCAUACCGGAGCUCAACUGACGCUGAUGCACGAAAGUGUGGGGAUCGAACAGGAUUAGAUACCCCGGUAGUC
rnacentral:rRNA from 1 species